rnacentral:rRNA from 1 species
AAGGGAGCUUGCUCCUGGAUUCAGCGGCGGACGGGUGAGUAAUGCCUAGGAAUCUGCCUGGUAGUGGGGGAUAACGUCCGGAAACGGGCGCUAAUACCGCAUACGUCCUGAGGGAGAAAGUGGGGGAUCUUCGGACCUCACGCUAUCAGAUGAGCCUAGGUCGGAUUAGCUAGUUGGUGGGGUAAAGGCCUACCAAGGCGACGAUCCGUAACUGGUCUGAGAGGAUGAUCAGUCACACUGGAACUGAGACACGGUCCAGACUCCUACGGGAGGCAGCAGUGGGGAAUAUUGGACAAUGGGCGAAAGCCUGAUCCAGCCAUGCCGCGUGUGUGAAGAAGGUCUUCGGAUUGUAAAGCACUUUAAGUUGGGAGGAAGGGCAGUAAGUUAAUACCUUGCUGUUUUGACGUUACCAACAGAAUAAGCACCGGCUAACUUCGUGCCAGCAGCCGCGGUAAUACGAAGGGUGCAAGCGUUAAUCGGAAUUACUGGGCGUAAAGCGCGCGUAGGUGGUUCAGCAAGUUGGAUGUGAAAUCCCCGGGCUCAACCUGGGAACUGCAUCCAAAACUACUGAGCUAGAGUACGGUAGAGGGUGGUGGAAUUUCCUGUGUAGCGGUGAAAUGCGUAGAUAUAGGAAGGAACACCAGUGGCGAANGCGACCACCUGGACUGAUACUGACACUGACGUGCGAAAGCGUGGGGAGCAAACAGGAUUAGAUACCCUGGUAGUCCACGCCGUAAACGAUGUCGACUAGCCGUUGGGAUCCUUGAGAUCUUAGUGGCGCACCUAACGCGAUAAGUCG